CCUACGGGUGGCAGCAGUGAGGAAUAUUGGUCAAUGGGCGGGAGACUGAACCAGCCAAGUAGCGUGAGGGAUGAAGGCACUACGGGUUGUAAACUUCUUUUAUAAAGGAAUAAAGUGUGGCACGCGUGCCUGUUUGUAUGUACUUUAUGAAAAAGGAUCGGCUAACUCCGUGCCAGCAGCCGCGGUAAUACGGAGGAUCCGAGCGUUAUCCGGAUUUAUUGGGUUUAAAGGGGGCGUAGAUGGGUUGUUAAGUCAGGUGUGAAAGUUUGCGGCUCAACCCUAAAAUUGCAAUUGAUACUGGCAGUCUUGAGUACAGGUGAGGUAGGCGGAAUUCGUGGUGUAGCGGUGAAAUGCUUAGAUAUCACGAAGAACUCCGAUUGCGAAGGCAGCUUACUAAACCGCCACUGACAUUGAGGCUCGAAAGUGUGGGUAUCAAACAGGAUUAGAUACCCUGGUAGUC
rnacentral:rRNA from 1 species